rnacentral:lncRNA from 12 species
AAUUAGCUAAGUGUGCCUGCAACCUCUCCACUUGUUAGAUUGUUUUUUUUUUUUUUAAUUUCAAUGUCAUGCUGAUUCAUUUACCGGAUACCGACCCAGAGGCCUACUUACUCGAAGAGAUUACGCCUCUCCCCCUGUGGCAGCGGGUGGGACCAAGGGCAGUCACCUGACCCACGGCAGCCGAUGGGGGGCCAGGGUGUGGUGAUGACGACGUAAUCCGGUCCGGCCUUGCCUUGUGGGGACCCUGCCCUGGUGGGCGCUGGUGUGACAGCAAAGCACGUCCCACGGUCAGGGAGGGAAGAAUCUUGCAAUCUUGCAAUUGCAAUCUGUUGUCAAGGUAAGUUAUGGCCUCAGUGGAGGUGGUCAGGUCAUUCCCUAUCCUUCUGGGGUAAGGGCCUCAGAAAGAUCACCUUUCCCCGCUUAGCCUGCCUGGCUCCUGAGGGUUAGUGUGUUAAUUUGCUUGGGCUGCCACAGACUUAAGCCACAGAAAUUUGCUGUCUCUCGGUCCUGGAGGCCAGAGGUCUGGUAUCGAGGUGCUUGUAGGGUUGGUUCCUUCUGAGGGGUGUGAGGAAGAACCUGUUCCAUGCUUCUCCGUUGGCUUCUGAUGCUGUUCCGGCAACCUUGGCGUUCUGUGGCUGUCUGCCUUCGUGUUCACAGGGCAUUCUCCACGUGCUGCUUGCUCUAGGUCCACAUUUCUCCUUUUUAUAAGGAUGCCAGUCAUAUUGGAUUAAAUCCCAACUAAAUGAGCUCAUCUUAACUUGGCGACAUCUGCAGAUACAUCACUUCCAAAUGAGACCCUGGGUUGAGACUGCAACAUCUUUAAGGGGCACACAAUUGACCCAAAACCAGGCAGCCAUGAAUAUGGAGAGCGGGCGGGAAUGAGCAUUGCUUUCUUCUGUUGACCCUGCCCAUCAUUUGCUCUGAGGUUUACUAAAAGGUGAGGAUAGGAGGGGACAGCCAUCACUGGGGGGUCUGUGUAGCCUUUCUCCCUACAGAGGGGAUAGGCUCUCCGUAUAUCACAUGCACUUGUCUCUGGGACCAAAGUAGAUUCCUGAGAGAAACUCACAGAACACGUUUGCACUUGGGAGUCAGAAAUAGGUUGGAG